rnacentral:lncRNA from 1 species
UGGACUUUCAGCAUCUAUCUCCAAGGGUGCACGUGUGCUGUGCUCUCCAGCACCCUGUGGAAAGCACAGACAGGUAGACAUAAGAAAGUUUGAAAGCCCAGCAUCUGAAGUUUCCUCCAAACCUGCUCACAGCUGUGGCUCUCACAAAGGUCUUCUGCUUCAGAACAAAAUAGCUCUGCCCAGGCUGCACCAUGUGGGAGGAUUCAGAAAGCAUGGGCGCAGCCAGGGCACUGCAGGAUGCAAUCACAGGAGCGGGCACGCCGUACCUCUCCCUGGGGCCAUGGGAAGCAAGGAUCACAGGGGCUGAGCAAGAAUCCUGGGCAGCACUGGCCCACUGGCACGUCCUGCUCUGUCUCCUGCUGGCACCAGUGGGAGCCUUCCUGCUGACCGGUCUAACACAUCCCGACCUGAGGGGGUGGCUGGGCUCUGAGCGCGGUGCUGGAGCUGCACAUCACCCGUACACAAAGUGGGGCCAUAUGUCAGGAAGACACAGGAGUGGCUGCAUAGCAUGUCUGGUACCUAUCUGGCUUGGAAAAAGCUUCCAGAUCUUAGUGCUCAUUGAAAUUCAUUUAAUUACGCAGUUGAUAAUCUUAAUUGGAAACAUACUUGGGCGGACUCCAUUGCCCCAGACAGAAAGGCUGAGGGGGAAGCCUGGGAGCAGAGGCAGGGGUGGUUAUUUAAGGCAGCCACUUCUGCAGGUAGCCCAGGAGGCUGGGGACUUCCUAAAAAAGUUCACCAUUAGUGCUGAGCCCUGCUGGGGCACACAGUUCCCAUCUUCAGGAGACAUGAUGCCAGCAGGUCUUCCCUUUGGUUUGCCUUUUGUGUGGCCAAAACCACCGGUCAGGGUGGGGAGGAUGGCACAAGAGUUGCCUCCUCCCGGGAGAGGAGAGGUUUUCCUUGUGAGAAAUGCUCGGACUCCUCUCUUGUAGCCUGGUGCUCCCAGUGUUUUAACAAGAGGCCCCACAAAUAUUUAACUCCAGCAAAGGGAGAAAACCUAGUGUAGUAGGGCGGGAUGGAUAUGUUUGCUGAGAAGAG